UACGAACCGUGCGAACGUUGUUCGGAAUCACUGGGCUUAAAGGGCGCGUAGGCGGGUUCUCAAGUCAGGGGUGAAAGCCCACGGCUCAACCGUGGAAGUGCCUCUGAUACUGGGGACCUCGAGGGAGGUAGGGGCGUGCGGAACUUCCGGUGGAGCGGUGAAAUGCGUAGAUAUCGGAAGGAACACCGGUGGCGAAAGCGGCGCGCUGGACCUCUUCUGACGCUGAGGCGCGAAAGCCAGGGGAGCAAACGGG
rnacentral:rRNA from 1 species